GACUCUACAAGGUGUUGAAAGCCUUCCACAGGGACUCUACAAGGUGUUGAAAGCCUUCCACAGGGUCUCUACAAGGUGUUGAAAGCCUUCCACAGGGUCUCUACAAGGUGUUGAAAGCCUUCCACAGGGACUCUACAAGGUGUUGAAAGCCUUCCACAGGGACUCUACAAGGUGUUGAAAGCCUUCCACAGGGACUCUACAAGGUGUUGAAAGCCUUCCACAGGGACUCUACAAGGUGUUGAAAGCCUUCCACAGGGUCUCUACAAGGUGUUGAAAGCCUUCCACAGGGUCUCUACAAGGUGUUGAAAGCCUUCCACAGGGACUCUACAAGGUGUUGAAAGCCUUCCACAGGGACUCUACAAGGUGUUGAAAGCCUUCCACAGGGUCUCUACAAGGUGUUGAAAGCCUUCCACAGGGUCUCUACAAGGUGUUGAAAGCCUUCCACAGGGACUCUACAAGGUGUUGAAAGCCUUCCACAGGGACUCUACAAGGUGUUGAAAGCCUUCCACAGGGACUCUACAAGGUGUUGAAAGCCUUCCACAGGGA